rnacentral:rRNA from 1 species
GAUGAACGCUGGCGGCGUGCCUAAUACAUGCAAGUCGAGCGAACAGAUGAGGAGCUUGCUCCUCUGACGUUAGCGGCGGACGGGUGAGUAACACGUGGAUAACCUACCUAUAAGACUGGGAUAACUACGGGAAACCGGAUCUAAUACCGGAUAAUAUAUUGAACCGCAUGGUUCAAUAGUGAAAGACGGUUUUGCUGUCACUUAUAGAUGGUUCCGCGUCGGAUUAGCUAGUUGGUAAGGUAACGGCUUACCAAGGCAACGAUGCGUAGCCGAACUGAGAGGGUGAUCGGCCACACUGGAACUGAGACACGGUCCAGACUCCUACGGGAGGCAGCAGUAGGGAAUGUUCCGCAAUGGGCGAAAGCCUGACGGAGCAACGCCGCGUGAGUGAUGAAGGUCUUCGGAUCGUAAAGCUCUGUUAUUAGGGAAGAACAAAUGUGUAAGUAAAUAUGCACGUCUUGACGGUACCUAAACAAAAAGCCACGGCUAACUACGUG